CCUACCUCUCCACCGCCACCACUACCUCUAUCACCUCCACCCUCAACAUCUCCAUCACCUCCACCUCCACCGCCGCUUCCACCUCCACCUCCACCUCUUCCGUCGCAACCACCACCUCUUCCGUCGCAACCACCACCUCCUCUUCCUCCUGUGCCAACUAUGGUACUGCAACCACCUGUACCAACUCAACCUUUGUUACCAGCCAAACCAAUACAACCAUCUCAUUCAUCC
rnacentral:lncRNA from 1 species